rnacentral:rRNA from 1 species
UACACUCCUGCGGGAGGCAGCAGUGGGGAAUAUUGCACAAUGGGCGCAAGCCUGAUGCAGCCAUGCCGCGUGUAUGAAGAAGGCCUUCGGGUUGUAAAGUACUUUCAGCGGGGAGGAAGGCAAUACGGUUAAUAACCGUGUUGAUUGACGUUACCCGCAGAAGAAGCACCGGCUAACUCCGUGCCAGCAGCCGCGGUAAUACGGAGGGUGCAAGCGUUAAUCGGAAUUACUGGGCGUAAAGCGCACGCAGGCGGUCUGUCAAGUCGGAUGUGAAAUCCCCGGGCUCAACCUGGGAACUGCAUUCGAAACUGGCAGGCUUGAGUCUUGUAGAGGGGGGUAGAAUUCCAGGUGUAGUGGUGAAAUGCGUAGAGAUCUGGAGGAAUACCGGUGGCGAAGGCGGCCCCCUGGACAAAGACUGACGCUCAGGUGCGAAAGCGUGGGGAGCAAACAGGAUUAGAUACCCUUGUAGUCCCAUG